UACCAGCUCUCCGAGUGGUAGGGAUGAUUAUUGGGCUUAAAGCGUUCGUAGCCGGCUUAGCAAGUCUCCUGUUAAAUUCAGCGACCUAAUCGUUGAGCCGCGGGAGAUACUACUAGGCUAGGAGGCGGGAGAGGUCAACGGUACUUCCGGGGUAGGGGUGAAAUCCUAUAAUCCCGGGAGGACCACCAGUGGCGAAGGCUGUUGACUAGAACGCGCUCGACGGUGAGGGACGAGAGCUGGGGGAGCGAACCGGAUUAGAUACCCGGGUAGUCCCAGCUGUAAACGAUGCGAGCUAGGUGUUGGGGUGGCUACGUGCCACUUCAGUGCCGCAGGGAAGCCAUUAAGCUCGCCGCCUGGGGAGUACGGCCGCAAGGCUGAAACUUAAGGAAUUGGCGGGGAGCACCACAAGGCGUGAAGCUUGCGGUUC
rnacentral:rRNA from 1 species